rnacentral:rRNA from 1 species
UACGUAGGUGGCAAGCGUUGUCCGGAUUUACUGGGCGUAAAGAGCGCGCAGGCGGUCGAAUAAGUCGAAUGUGAAAGCCCCCGGCUCAACUGGGGAGGGUCAUUCGAUACUGUUCGACUUGAAGGCAGGAGAGAGAAGCAGAAUUCCCGGUGUAGUGGUGAAAUGCGUAGAUAUCGGGAGGAAUACCAGUGGCGAAGGCGACUACCUGGCCUGUUCUUGACGCUGAGGCGCGAAAGCUAGGGGAGCAAACGGG